rnacentral:lncRNA from 1 species
CUCUUUACUAUGCUUUUGCUUGUAUUAGCAUCUUAUAUUGACAUUGAAUACUAUAAUUAGCAUCUGAUCUUGCACAGGGCUCACCUGAGACAUGAACAGAUUGCCCAGAGAAGUUGUGGAUGCCCCAUCCCUGGAGGUGUUCAAGACCAGGUUAGAUGAGGCCUUGAGCAACCUGAUCUAGUGGGCAGCAUCCCUGCCUAUGGCAGGGGGGUUGGAACUAGAUGAUCCUUGAGGCCCCUUCCAACCCAAGCCAUUCUAUGAUUCUACGAGAGACAAGGCACAGUCACUCAAAUCAAGGGAAUUAAUGUGCUCCCUCACAUUACCUCCUGAGGGACAUCCACAUCUACAGUGUAAAGUACAAUAAAAGACAGAAAAUUGGGUUGUUGGGACUCUGCAGAGUGAGAAGGAUGGACUGGCCAUUCUGGAUUAUACAGAUGCUGGCCUUACUUGUGAGCAGGCUUUGUUCCAUCUGGAGGUGUUAAGCAGUUUACAAAGCCACCAGCAGGAAGCCAGUCCAGCAUAUGCACCAUCGUGGGGACAGGAGACCCCUUCCAGCUGCCAAGGAUGGUGCAGGCAUUGGGGAGGCCAUUUAUCACCUGCAUGUGACACUCUUCCGUACAGGCUACAGAUCUUGAUGGAAACUCAUUUUUGUAUGAGAGUAUAAUACCUAACUCAAUAGGGCCUGCCCCUUGGACUGAAGAGUUAACACAUAACAGAAUAUUGUAUGAUUAUUUUAUAAAAUACAUGUUAAAAGCAAUUGAUUUAUUUCCUAAAUCUGUUUCUGCUUAGAGCUCUUACUGAUAACCAUGUUAAGAAUAAUAUGCAGCUCUGUUAGUACGUGUGUAUUUUUAUUUUGUUGGAUGUUUAUACAUAUGUAUCUCAUGAGGUAAAUUCUGGACAACUGUUAUUGUACCCUCCCUUUCCGGUACACCAGCUUAACUUUUACUGAAACAUGAGACAAAGAUUUUCCUGGUCUCUCAAGACCUUUUGAGAAUUGCUACAUCGAAUUAAAAUUCUAAAGCAAAGAUAUAUAGGUAAGGGAAGGCUCUUGAGCUAUACUUUUGUCCACCACUGGUAUUAAGGUAGCAUAAAGACAGACUGUCCAUUUCAGAUUAUCUGUUCUAACCUCAAACCUCCACAGGAAAGAGGGUUUUCCACAACUUUCCUGUUGUGUAAUCUGUUAGACUAUUGAAUUAUGC